rnacentral:lncRNA from 1 species
AUCCCAGUGGCAAGGUGCAUCCUGAAAUCAUCAAUGAGAAUGGAAACCCCAGCUACAAGUAUUUUUAUGUCAGUGCCGAGCAAGUUGUUCAGGGGAUGAAGGAAGCUCAGGAAAGGCUGACGGGUGAUGCCUUCAGAAAGAAACAUCUUGAAGAUGAAUUGUAACAUGAAUAAUUGUGGGCUUCUUCCCAAAUUUCUACAGCCUCUUUCCUCUUCUCAUGCUUGAGCUUCCCUGUUUGCACGCAUGCGUGUGCAGGACUGGCUGUGUGCUUGGACUCGGCUCCAGGUGGAAGCAUGCUUUCCCUUGUUACUGUUGGAGAAACUCAAACCUUCAAGCCCUAGGUGUAGCCAUUUUGUCAAGUCAUCAACUGUAUUUUUGUACUGGCAUUAACAAAAAAAGAGAUAAAAUAUUGUACCAUUAAACUUUAAUAAAACUUUAAAAGGAAA